rnacentral:rRNA from 1 species
CCGCAACGAGCGCAACCCCUAUCCUUAUUUGCCAGCACGUAAUGGUGGGAACUUUAGGGAGACUGCCGGUGAUAAACCGGAGGAAGGUGGGGACGACGUCAAGUCAUCAUGGCCCUUACGAGUAGGGCUACACACGUGCUACAAUGGCGAGUACAGAGGGUUGCAAAGCCGCGAGGUGGAGCUAAUCUCACAAAGCUCGUCGUAGUCCGGAUUGGAGUCUGCAACUCGACUCCAUGAAGUCGGAAUCGCUAGUAAUCGUGAAUCAGAAUGUCACGGUGAAUACGUUCCCGGGCCUUGUACACACCGCCCGUCACGCCAUGGGAGUGGGCUGCAAAAGAAGUGGGUAGUUUAACCUUCGGGA